GCAGACCAGAGUCUAGCAUAAAUGUCUUCAAAGAAGCUCUACCCAUCAGCUAUGACUCAGACAACUGCAGCAUUUACAGCCAAACAGUAGAUGGAAAUUGAAUACUCUUAUGGAAGAAUAGGGGAAAGGCUGCAAACUGAAGGGAAUAGGAACUCUAUAGGAAGACCAUCAGAGUCUGGACCCUCAGAGAUUGAACUAAUGACCAAAGAGCAUACACAGGCUGGACCUGGGCUUCAUUGCUCAUAUGUAACAGAUGUGCAGCUUGGUCUUCAUGUGGGUCCUGAACAACUGGAAUGGGGUCUAUCCCAAAAGCUGUUGUCUCUGUGUGCGUUAUGUUCUUCUAGCUGGGCUGCCUGGUCUGGCCACAGUGGGAGAGGAUGUACCUAGACUUGCAGAGACUUGAUAUGCCAGGGUGGGGCAAUAACCAGAGGAGAAGGGGAUGGGGACGGGGUGAAGGAUGCUGGAAGAGGGUUACUGGGGGGAGGCAGUGAGCUGGAUAUAAAGUGAAUAAGUAAAAAUAAACAAACAAGUU
rnacentral:lncRNA from 1 species